UACGGAGGGUGCAAGCGUUAUCCGGAUCUACUGGGUCUAAAGGGUGUGUAGGCGGACUUUUAAGUCAGCGGUGAAAUCUCCGGGCUCAACCCGGAAACUGCCAUUGAUACUAUUGGUCUUGAAUGUUGUUGAGGUGGGCGGAACGGGUCAUGUAGCGGUGAAAUGCAUAGAUAUGACCCGGAACACCGAUUGCGAAGGCAGCCCACUAAGCAACUAUUGACGCUGAGGCACGAAAGCGUGGGGAUCAAACAGG
rnacentral:rRNA from 1 species